rnacentral:rRNA from 1 species
AUUGACGCUGGAGCGUGCUUAACACAUGCAAGUCGUGCGAGAAAGGGACUUCGGUCCUGAGUAGAGCGGCGCACGGGUGAGUAACGCGUGGGUGAUCUCCCUUGGUGAUCGGGAUAACAGCGGGAAACUGCUGCUAAUACCGGAUAAUCUUCAUGUUUAACUUCAUGGGGUAAAGGUGGCCUCUGCUUGCAAGCUACCACAUCAAGAUGAGCCCGCGUCUCAUUAGCUAGUUGGUAGGGUAAUGGCCUACCAAGGCUACGAUGAGUAGCUGGUCUGAGAGGAUGACCAGCCACACUGGGACUGGAACACGGCCCAGACUCCUACGGGAGGCAGCAGUGGGGAAUAUUGCGCAAUGGGCGAAAGCCUGACGCAGCGACGCCUCGUGAGGGAUGAAGGUCUUCGGAUCGUAAACCUCUGUCAAGAGGGAAGAAACCUUUGGAUUCGAACAGGGUCUAAAGCUGACGGUACCUCUAAAGGAAGCACCGGCUAACUCCGUGCCAGCAGCCGCGGUAAUACGGAGGGUGCAAGCGUUAAUCGGAAUCACUGGGCGUAAAGCGCUCGUAGGCUGUUUGGUAAGUCAGACGUGAAAGCCCGCGGCUUAACCCGCGGAACUGCGUUUGAUACUGCCAGACUUGAGUGUCGGAGAGGGUGGCGGAAUUCCGGGUGUAGGAAUGAAAUCCGUAGAUAUCCGGAGGAACACCAGUUGGCGAAGGCGGCCACCUGGACGACAACUGACGCUGAGGAACCAAAACCGUGGGUAGCAAACAGGAUUAGAUACCCUGGUAAUCCACGCCGGUAAACGAUGGAUGCUGGGUGGUCGGGGGUUUACCUUCCGGUGCCGCAAGUUAACGCCGUUAAGCAUUCCCGCCUGGGGAGUACCGGUCGCAAGGCUUGAAACCUCAAGGAAUUGACCGGGGGCCCCGACAAGCCGGUGGAAGUAUGUGGGUUAA